UGGGGAAUAUUGCACAAUGGGCGCAAGCCUGAUGCAGCCAUGCCGCGUGUGUGAAGAAGGCCUUCGGGUUGUAAAGCACUUUCAGCGAGGAGGAAGGGUAGUGUGUUAAUAGCACAUUGCAUUGACGUUACUCGCAGAAGAAGCACCGGCUAACUCCGUGCCAGCAGCCGCGGUAAUACGGAGGGUGCAAGCGUUAAUCGGAACUACUGGGCGUAAAGCGCACGCAGGCGGUUUGUUAAGUCAGAUGUGAAAUCCCCGCGCUUAACGUGGGAACUGCAUUUGAAACUGGCAAGCUAGAGUCUUGUAGAGGGGGGUAGAAUUCCAGGUGUAGCGGUGAAAUGCGUAGAGAUCUGGAGGAAUACCGGUGGCGAAGGCGGCCCCCUGGACAAAGACUGACGCUCAGGUGCGAAAGCGUGGGGAGCAAACA
rnacentral:rRNA from 1 species